rnacentral:rRNA from 1 species
UGGGGAAUAUUGCACAAUGGGCGCAAGCCUGAUGCAGCCAUGCCGCGUGUGUGAAGAAGGCCUUCGGGUUGUAAAGCACUUUCAGCGAGGAGGAAGGUGGUGAGCUUAAUACGCUCAUCAAUUGACGUUACUCGCAGAAGGAGCACCGGCUAACUCCGUGCCAGCAGCCGCGGUAAUACGGAGGGUGCAAGCGUUAAUCGGAAUUACUGGGCGUAAAGCGCACGCAGGCGGUUUGUUAAGUCAGAUGUGAAAUCCCCGGGCUCAACCUGGGAACUGCAUUUGAAACUGGCAAGCUAGAGUCUCGUAGAGGGGGGUAGAAUUCCAGGUGUAGCGGUGAAAUGCGUAGAGAUCUGGAGGAAUACCGGUGGCGAAGGCGGCCCCCUGGACGAAGACUGACGCUCAGGUGCGAAAAGCGUGGGGAGCAAAACAGGAUUAGAUACCCUGGUAGUCCACGCUGUAAAACGAUGUCGAUUUUGGAGGUUGUG